GUUCCGCCUGGGGAGUACGCACGCAAGUGUGAAACUCAAAGGAAUUGACGGGGGCCCGCACAAGCGGUGGAGUAUGUGGUUUAAUUCGAUGCAACGCGAAGAACCUUACCAGGGUUUGACAUCCUGCGAACCUCUAAGAAAUUAGAGGGUGCCUUCGGGAACGCAGUGACAGGUGGUGCAUGGCUGUCGUCAGCUCGUGUCGUGAGAUGUUGGGUUAAGUCCCGCAACGAGCGCAACCCACGUUUUUAGUUGCCAGCAUUUAGUUGGGCACUCUAGAAAGACCGCCGGUGAUAAACCGGAGGAAGGUGUGGAUGACGUCAAGUCAUCAUGCCCCUUACAUCCUGGGCUACACACGUACUACAAUGCUACGGACAAAGGGCAGCAAACUCGCGAGAGCUAGCAAAUCCCAUAAACCGUGGCUCAGUUCAGAUCGUAGGCUGCAACUCGCCUACGUGAAGUAGGAAUCGCUAGUAAUCGCAGGUCAGCAUACUGCGGUGAAUACGUUCCCGGGCCUUGUACACACCGCCCGUCACACCAUGGAAGUUGGCCAUGCCCGAAGUCGUUACUUUAACCCUUGUGGAGAAGGACGCCGAAGGUGGGGCUGAUGACUGGGGUGAAGUCGUAACAAGGUA
rnacentral:rRNA from 1 species